rnacentral:rRNA from 1 species
UACGUAGGUGGCAAGCGUUGUCCGGAUUUACUGGGCGUAAAGCGCGCGUAGGCGGCUCGGAAAGUCGGUCGUGAAAUGCCGGGGCUCAACCCCGGGACUGCGUCCUAUACUUCCGAGCUGGAGGCAGGUAGGGGAGAUCGGAAUUCCUGGUGUAGCGGUGAAAUGCGCAGAUAUCAGGAGGAACACCGGUGGCGAAGGCGGAUCUCUGGGCCUUGCCUGACGCUGAGGCGCGAAAGCUAGGGGAGCGAACAGG